UCCGCUUGUUCUCUACUUGGCUAAGAAUUAAACACCGGUUGUCCUUUUAGUUAUUUAUUUAUUGGUUGAUGGACUGUGGUAAUACGAGUCGUUGCACGUACCAAAAGCCCCGGGUUUCAUCUCAUCCAGCAUUCAUACAGGUGAAGUGUGUGGCGGCUGCUGGACGGGAUCACCCUCCUCCUCAGGGCUUUCCUCCCGCAGCCUUCCCUGGGCCGGGGGCUGCGUUAGGUCUGGCCAGCACUGGGUUCUUUUCGGGCUUUCUCUGUUUCUGCAUUUCUAUGUGAAUCCUCUCUGUUGAUCCUGCCACACAGGGACAACUGCAUCGUCACCUGCCUUGUGGUCCCUCACAUAGAUGGAAAUACUGACAUAAAAUUACUCACCUGAUGUCACAUGGAGACUAAAUGAUAUACCUGAGGUUUCAGUUCAGGCGUUACCAGAUAAUGUGUGAGAUAUGCACCAAUCUCAAAGUGGAUAGCUGAAGUUAGGUGCUGACAAGACCAUCACAAUGGCCUUUAAGGAGGAAAGACAUGCUUGUGCUAUAUACUUUGACAUUGAAUUAGAUUGUGUAGGGUGAGAAGAGGAAGUCCUUUUGAUAGACACAUUCUUUGCAUAGGCAAAGGAGGGGAGUGUGCCAAUAAAGCUCCCUAAUCUUUGUCUUUGGAUAUCUAGGGAUGGGACUAUGGCAUCAGCAGGACUUGGCAGAAUUGCAGAGAAGAGAACCACCAAAAUAGUUUUCAGCUUUGCCUCUAAGGGGUGAUUGGAAUCUCCUUUGAUGUUGAGCAUCUAGGAGAUGUCCUCUGUGGAUGCUUUUCUGGUCUGUCUCAGUACAUUACUUUUAUUGAUAUCACCUUCCCUCCUCAUCCCUCUCCCUGGUAUAGUUUGAAUCUUCCCUAUGGUAUGUUUUUACCCUCACAUCUACCUUUUUUCUUCAAAGUAAAUCCUUUUUAAAUACCACGCCAAAGAAUUCCUGGUAGAGUUGUUUAACAAGGGCGACACAUACUUAUCUCUUGACCUCACACUUGGAAGCUACUGAGCACUUUGGCUUUGAUCAUCAGAAAAUAUGUCUGAGGCAGAUAUUUGGCAUUGGAGACCUUAGUUUUCAAAAUAUGAGGCAUAAAAUAUCAU